rnacentral:rRNA from 1 species
AAUGGUAACAUGCCACCCUAAACAAGCCCGAUCCUGUCUGAUUUCAAAAGCUAAGCAAGGUUGGGCCUGGUUAGUACUUGGCUGGGAGACUACCUAGGAAGACCAGGUGUUGUAGAUG